AUUGAACGCUGGCGGUAUGCUUAAGACAUGCAAGUCGAACGGUAACAGGUUAAGCUGACGAGUGGCGGACGAGUGAGUAACGCGUGGGAAUCUACCUUGUAGUGGGGGAUAAGCCAGGGAAACUUGGACUAAUACCGCAUACGCCCUAAGGGGGAAAGGCGCAAGUCGCUAUAAGAUGAGCCCGCGUCUGAUUAGGUAGUUGGUGGGGUAAAGGCCUACCAAGCCGACGAUCAGUAGCUGGUCUGAGAGGAUGAUCAGCCACGUCGGGACUGAGACACGGCCCGGACUCCUACGGGAGGCAGCAGUCGGGAAUAUUGGACAAUGGGGGAAACCCUGAUCCAGCAAUACCGCGUGUGUGAAGAAGGCCUGCGGGUUGUAAAGCACUUUCAGUUGGGAAGAUAAUGACGUUACCAACAGAAGAAGCACCGGCUAACUCCGUGCCAGCAGCCGCGGUAAAUCGUGUGA
rnacentral:rRNA from 1 species